CCUUUGACGCUAGCGGCGGACGGGUGAGUAACACGUGGGUAACCUACCUAUAAGACUGGGAUAACUUCGGGAAACCGGAGCUAAUACCGGAUAAUAUUUCGAACCGCAUGGUUCGAUAGUGAAAGGUGGUUUUGCUAUCACUUAUAGAUGGACCCGCGCCGUAUUAGCUAGUUGGUAAGGUAACGGCUUACCAAGGCGACGAUACGUAGCCGACCUGAGAGGGUGAUCGGCCACACUGGAACUGAGACACGGUCCAGACUCCUACGGGAGGCAGCAGGA
rnacentral:rRNA from 1 species